rnacentral:lncRNA from 1 species
CCAUCCAAAGCACAGAUUCACAAUUAACCUUAACCAUCAAAUUCUACAUAUUUAAUUCGGUUUGCCAACAUAAUUAGGCAAGACUUGAAUUUACAUAAAAUUACAACUAAUAAGUUUAAAAUUUCUACUGCGAAAAAUCUAAAAUUUUACAAGUCAAACAUAUCAAAAUCAAUUACAUCAACCCGAUGAUGGAGUCGGGCUGCUAGAUAAGAACUGCGGAAAGACUAACAAUCACCUGAAAAACAGUGAAAUUGAGACUGUUAGUCUCGAGAGUGAGUUAAAAUCAUAUAUCCCAAAAUAAAUAUAAACACUUCAAUAAAAUAUAUACUUAAUUUAAAAUAAAAACACAUGUCAUGCUAUGCUUCUGCAAAAUAAAAUAAAAUAAAAUAAAUUUUUAUUUCAUACCACGGGACGGAGUACCUCAGUAGAAUCCUAAUCCCAACACUAACAUCCCGAUUAUCUCAUUCCAACAGAACUGGCGCCCAGAGAGCGGAGCUCGACCAGAAUCCUUAACUGCAGUCCGGUCACUUAACUAUCAAUAUCAGUGUUAGCCUUUCGGCUUUCUUACUCCAAUAAGACUGGCGCACAGAGAGCGAAGCUCGACCAGGAUCCUUAAAUCUAGUAUGGUCACUUAGAUUUCCAAAUAAGUCGGCACCCGGAGAACAAUGCUCGACCAUGGACUUUUACUCCGAAAAGCUUACUAUAUUCAGCCCAAAAUGCAAUGCUCGACCAGGAUAAAUCCUAAAUUUGUUUUUUUAAAUUUACUAUUUUUACUAUCUGUCUCGUAUUUCUACCGGCGUGCAAACAAUCUCGAUGCAAUCCGAUUAAAUAUUCUAAUUUUAAUACCACAAUUAAUCCGGGAGGAAUUUUAAUGAAUCAAUACCACUAAAUUUCUUGAAAUAAAGCGGGAAAGAUUCUCUCCUUUGACACGUAAAUCGAGGCACCGCCACCCGCGGUAGCUAAAAAUUCAAUAUUCCCGGAAUCGCGAUUCAAGACCACCUACUCGAAGCUUUCAACGCGAGGAUUCCAAAUAUGCAGUUAUUUUUGCCCAACUCUUCACCAUUUUUUAAGAAAAUAUCAAACAAGUUACUACUUCAGCGAAGCUUUUACUCCCAUUUCCAGUGAUGGCAGUUGUAAUGGGGGCCUAAAAUGGGCUAUUUGGUGCUCGAGAAACUCUUGGCAGCAGCUUAGACAACCACCACACUUGCAACAGCUUUGGGAAGAAGGGCAGCCUACUAUUCCCCUUUUUCUUCAAUUUUCCAACAAGAAAUGGAAGGAAAAUGGAGUUUGCAGUCGGCCAAGCACGGAAGAUAGUGGAUCCUUGCUUCGGGUAGAGGAAAAUGAUGAGGGCAAUUGGUUGACGUUAGAAAGGUGUGAGCGAAAAAAAGUGGGAAUGUAUGUAUGCGGGAAAAAGAAAAAGAAAUGAGGGAGAGGAACAGAAAUGGAUUUUUAGGUACAUGUGCUAGUAUUAUCAUUAUUAUUAUUAUUUAUAUAUAUAUACAUAGAUGUACACAUGUAUGUGUGUGUGUAUAUAUACACAUAUGUCUCCUUUGGUGCAGCUACCUAGAACGACCCCUUCUCUUAUUACGAGAUUUGAUCUCGAUUUAAAUAUUUUUCAUCUCAUUCUUCAUUUUCACUCGUCUCUCGUGAAAAUCUAGCUUUUGUUAAUGCUUGCAUAGCCGAGAAGGAGAAUCUAGAAUCUCAUCUAUUUAAAGCUGACCUUCUGGAACUUAAGAAGGAAAAAAUGAAAAUGACAAAAUGCUUCAAAUCAGUGGAGAGAGGAAUGUGGUGAGGGAAAACAAGAAUGAUACCUGUCAUCGUGUGGAGCGCAUCCAUGGUAGGUUCUUGAGGAGAUUUAGGCUGCCGGAGAAUGCAUAGAUGGGUCAGGUUAAAGCUUCAAUGAAGAAUUGAGUUCUAAC